GCCCGCUCAGCACAUCCCGGCCUGCCCGCGGCCCCCGGGCGUGAGGCGGCUGGGCUCCGGUCCCAAAUCUCAUCUGAGAUGGCGCUUUGGAAGAUCAGCGCUCCUGCAUCUUUGUUUGGGGAGAUCCCUUCUGAAACAACAACAAAGAAUGUACCCACUCCAGGGACAAGGAUGGAACAGACUCGCACGGCUAGCUACCGGUGAAGAUACUGUCCCAGAUAAACAAAAGUUAAUUUAAGCUACGACCACACUUCUGUCAAGCUCGCUACAGUUCUACCAUUACUUCCUUAACCGACAUGCCAGAGUUUUUAAGAAUUUAGGAAGUUGGGAAUACAACAACCUCACAAAAAGAAUAAGGCAAUUUCAUAACCAAAGGGAAAACAAAAAGAAAUAAUUAAACACAUUUCCAGGAA